rnacentral:lncRNA from 1 species
UGUUAUAGCGGCGCGAUGAAACCCCAUGGCGGCGGUGGCCCGGCGGUCAGCGGAUCGAUGGAUGGCUGGACGCGACGGAGGAGGUGUCGAGGAGGACGAGGGCGCCAAAGCGUUCGGCCAGACGAUAGGCGAUGGCGCAGGGUCUUCGGCCGGCUCGGGAUUCUUGGUUACGCGGAGGUCCACCACGGGACGCAGGCUCCUCGCCAUGGCGGUAAUCUCCCUCCUGUUCGCUCGGUUGUGCAAGAUGGAUGAAGGGCUCGGCAAUAUAUGCCCAUAGAGGAGGCCGAUUGAAUCUUAGAUAGCAUCCGUGUUUGUUACGGAAUCACACAGAUCUCAACAACCUGAACCCAACGCAAUCCCUAUGAGUCCGGCGGUCAUGGGACCUGGUCCAGCUGCUCCCCGGCCGCAUCGCCUACGUGCUGGGUUGAAUUUGCAUGAUGACAUCACUUCUUGCAUCAGCAUGACGUAAGCUCCGUCUAGGUGAAUAAAGAAAGUGGAAAUUCAACGUCUCCUAUGUGGUACGUCUCGAGUAGUAGUUUUAUUUUUUUUCUUUUAUGUUUCUUAUUUUCCCAUUUCAGUUUUAAAUCCCAACUUCAAUUUUUAUUCUAGGUUUUAGACUUUAAUAGAAUUCACAACAAACAGAUAAAAUAUCCAGUAUAAUAUGCAAGUAUUUUUUUUACUAAUUAUCUUACCUCGUUAUUUGAAAAUUUAUUUCAAAUAUGCAAUGCACACAUGAAAUGUUUAUUUUUAAGAAAAUAUGGUUUUAAGUAUUUUAGUUAAAAUUUCAUUUAAAAGUGAAUAUUCAUUACUUGAUUAUUUUAGGGGGAAGUAAUGUAUUUUUUUUCUAUCAUGAGUUACUUUAACACGUAAAAAAAUAUUUUAUAUACAGUCCUAGAAGGGGAUAAUCCAUUCAUUAUUUCUUGAAAUUUACAAACUGAAUUUCUAUUUCUAUUUUACCUUAACUAAUAUUGUUUUAAUGUUUCUAUUUAUUUUUAGAAGAUGGUGGGUUCCAAAGUAUAACUAUUCAUUAGGGACACUUUACUUUGAUUUCUAUUACUAUUCCCCAAAAUCAGAUUUCGGGCGUUACAAAUCCUACCCCCUUAAAAAUAAUCUCGUCCUCGAGAUUUGUAAGAAAAAGGAUACAAUAGGUAUGGUUUAGAAUUUUAGUUUCUCAUUGGGUUUUGGAAAUCAAAGUUUUGUUCAAGGUUUUUUUACAUAACAGUUAGUAGACGAUUUGGAACAUAUGGAUAUUGUAUGUCUAGCCAUCUAUUAUGUCACAUGAGGCACGAUUAUGGCAAGGGUGUAAUAAGGACAGACUUCAUCCAGAACCGUGGAUCUUGAUUCCGCUGGCGAUUCAACUUGAUCUUUGAAGACUUGAGUUGGUGCUUAUCCUUUCUUGAUGACGUUGAUCCUCUUUGGUCUUCGUUCUUGAUGUUGUUAUCCGAAUCAGAGAUAUGUGGUUAAGGCAGUUUCGUAGGUAAACAAAAUAGGUUAGUCGGUGGUUAUGAGUUAAAUAAGUUUAAACAGAAUUUGUCUUGUUGUUUUGCUUCUAGGUCGGGUUAGGCAGGUUAUGCAACCCAACAUGUAGGUCAGGUUGGUUGUAUAUGACCAAGUUAGUGCAGGGCACCAAUUUUAGGUUAAAACAUGACUAUAGAAGUAGAGUUUAAUCUAUUUCACCAAGAUUAACUAACAUGUUAGAUGACUCACUUUAGAUUGGAUCAUAUUAGAUUAGAUGGGAUCUAGAUUAGAUUGGUAUAAUUAGAUUAGACUAGAUAAUAUCUAAUUACAUUGGAUUAGAUCAUGGUUGUUACACUAGUGCGGGAUAAAUAUGCUUAUUAGGGCAAGAUGAAUCCAUAAGGAUAAGAUAGAAUCUUUUAAGGUCAGUUAUAUCUAUUAGGAUGAGAUAAAAUCUUUUCAAGAUAAGAUGAGAAUCUAUUUUUUUAGGAUAAGAUGGAUCUAUGAGUGUAGGAUAGACUUUUUCAAGAUAAGAUGGAUUUUGCUAGGCUAGAUUCUUUGAUGAGGGAUAACCUAGUUCAUUUAGAUAUUUUUAUAACUGUUUUUUUUCUAUAUGUAUAUGCAGAUGUGAUUGUGGACAUUACUCCACAACUAAUCACAUUCAAUCAAAGAUCCAAAUCAAACAAGUAUCAUAAGAACAAACAUUCAAGCAUACAAAUACCCAUAAAAAUAGUUUUGUUUUUGUUCCUAAGAGUAGGUCUCCUAUUCCUAAAGUCACUUUAGGCACAGGAUUUCAAAGUGUGAAAUCCACAUUUGUCUUUAGAAUGAAAGGGGUAAGAAUAAUCAGAGUAAAGCGGAAAUAGAUGAGAAAGAUUAAGAAAAGUUUAGAGAGAAUCAGAGUAGCAAAGGUAAGUAGACAAUGGUUGUCCAGUUCUAUCUAGGUUUCGUCCUACAGUCAACAUUCCUCUGAUACCACUUUUGUAACACCCGGAUUUUAGGGGGUCCAAAGCCCGGGUGUAAACAUAAUCACCAGGUGUGCUGGGACCAAGUCUCACACAUAUGAUGAAUCAUGGCACAGGAUCGAAUGUCACAUCUUUACUAUAUAAUAGGAGUUCUAUACAAAAUAAAUAAUUACAUUAUAAGGAGACAACGGUCCAGCAACCCAAAGUUGACUGGGAGACGACGGCCUAGACCACUCACGAACUCAUCACAGCAUCCUCCACGCGCCUCAUCCUGUGGUACCUGCUCUUGACCUGUGGGGGGGGGGUGUGAGACAGCAAGAGUGAGCUCACAUACGUUCAUCGCUCAACAAGUUGUGGGGAAUAAUGUGAAUGAACUCGCCAAAGGUGGGAGUUCAUGUGAAGUGUAAGGCUUACCAAAAAGGAUGGUUAGAGCUGAGCAUUGCUUUUAAAGUUGGUCAAAAUUUUAUUAGCAAUUACUAAGUAUAAGUAAAUACCAACCCAAUUAAAUAGUAGAACAGAAGUAACAACCUCACCUGCGAUGCAAUGCAUAUGACAAAUUGAGUUUAAGUUCCAUAAUUUAAUCAUGUGAGGGUCCGAGCUGCUCAUGACCGUGAGCACGGCUAGUAUACCAGUUUUACACUCUGCAGAGGUUGCGCAUCUUUACCCACAAGUCAUGUUACCCAUCUGCCAAGGGAUCGCGACUUCCCAUACACCUCUACCGAGGAGGCGAGGCAGGGUAACACUACGAGGCCUUUACAAAGUUCCACUAGCUUCAGAAAACCCGCUACAGUUUAUAGGAAGCUCCAAUGCAGGAAUUCCCUUGCAGAACCGCCAUCGCAGCAAAAUCCUCCCGAGGGCCUCCCUACACUGACCACUCCCCUACUGCCCUUGCCCCUUUCGGGUAAGGUAGUCCUCCACUAGCUUUCCUAAUUAAUCAGCCAAGGGCGUCCCAUUAUACCCUUGUGGUAGCACUGUUUUCCCGGGUGGUCGCUCCAUAUUCCAAUUAACAUAAUGAUCUUAUCAUGAACGAUAAAUAACAACGGAUAACAAAAGUAUAAUCAUGAGUAAUGUAUCUUCAUACCCAAAACCACAUAAAGCACUAGCAAGUACUACCCAAAAAGUUCAGUGGUAACAAGGUAUAAAGAUAAUCAAACUAGGGUAACCUAUUGGGUCCCAUCAAAAUUUAACCUAUGCAGAUCAUUAUGAUUAAUCAGAACAUGGUUGGGUAAAAAGAAGUGAUCAAGGGCACAACUUGCCUGGGACUUGAGAUUCCAGGUACCAACUUGCUCUUCAGAUGACACGUGACCUCGCUCUAGUCGUAGUAAUACAAACAAACAUUGUAUAGGAAACAUUACACCAAACAUAAGUACAAAUAUAUAUUAAUAAUCUACAUAUUAAAAUAAGAUCAAAGGAACAAGAAUUAUUAAUUUUGGAGUUAUAGAUUUUAAGAUAUGAAUUUCCAAAGGUUUUAUGUGCUUGAAAUAGGGUUAAGUGAGAAAUUAUUUUUCUUACUAUUUUCAUGUCGAAACAUAGGCUCUAAGUGAUAGAGAAUAAUAUUACAAAAUUUUAGAAAGUGGAAUGGGUUAAUUUGGAGCUCAUAUGAAUUUUCUAUGAAUUAUUAAAGUUCUAGCAUUUAUUUUUGUAUUUAAAAAUCUAUUUUCCAAUUACUUUUCUCUGAUUUUAUAAUACUCUGGACUGCGCGUCAUUUACUAAGAAAUACAGGGGCUAACCCGCAAGAUCGCCAAGACACAGCGCACCACUGGUCUGGACCGCGGGUUAGUUUAAUCAAAAUCCGAGGGCUCUUAAGAAAAUGUACCAGGGCCGAAGGGGUAUCCUUUAAUCAGAGUCGUCCGAUCAACUCCGGACGCACCAGAUUAAAUCGUGAGGGGUCUGAAUCGGUACGUGCCAUGAGCAGUCCGAUCGUGAUCCGACGGUCGCGGGUGAAACAUUACCUAGAUCUAAUCCUAGCCCUUCAACUGGUUAAUCAACGGUCAGGAUUCAAUCGGUCGAAUAGCUCUCUCAGGCGAUCUGAUCACAGCCGCAAGAAAGGGAUCCAACGGUCGGUGCCUUUCUCCCUCCCUGCGCACACAACAGGGCAGAGGCGAGCGAUUCGCACGGCGGCGCUCCCGGCGAGCUCACCGUGGAUACCGCCCAACGAUGGGACCGACCCGAGUUUGACAAGCUCUACACGAGGCUCAGCAUAUGGCGGACUCAAUCCGAAACCCUGAACAGCCAGAUAGGAUAAGCCCUGGCCCCUUUCCAUGGCGUGGCGCGGCGCCACGGCUCUAAUGGCGCGCUGGUGGCAAUUCCAGGUCUACAGACGGCCCAAAUCCUACCCCGCGAAACCCUAUGCGUCGAGGAUCAACAAUGAAAACGAUGAAGGAGCCCUUACGUGUUAUAGCGGCGCGAUGAAACCCCAUGGCGGCGGUGGCCCGGCGGUCAGCGGAUCGAUGGAUGGCUGGACGCGACGGAGGAGGUGUCGAGGAGGACGAGGGCGCCAAAGCGUUCGGCCAGACGAUAGGCGAUGGCGCAGGGUCUUCGGCCGGCUCGGGAUUCUUGGUGACGCGGAGGUCCACCACGGGACGCAGGCUCCUCGCCAUGGCGGUAAUCUCCCUCCUGUUCGCUCGGUUGUGCAAGAUGGAUGAAGGGCUCGGCAAUAUAUGCCCAUAGAGGAGGCCGAAUGAAUCUUAGAUAGCAUCCGUGUUUGUUACGGAAUCACACAGAUCUCAACAACCUGAACCCAACGCAAUCCCUAUGAGUCCGGCGGUCAUGGGACCUGGUCCAGCUGCUCCCCGGCCGCAUCGCCUACGUGCUGGGUUGAAUUUGCAUGAUGACAUCACUUCUUGCAUCAGCAUGACGUAAGCUCCGUCUAGGUGAAUAAAGAAAGUGGA